rnacentral:snRNA from 1 species
AUUUCUUACACCGCAAAACGCAG